rnacentral:lncRNA from 1 species
GUCCCAGAGUUGCUGUGCUGUCCCUCCCCCAAGGACACAGAUUCUGUCUAUAUACCAUGUGGUCACUGCCAGGGCAUAGAGGAAGUGUGCCAUCUGUAAUUCAAGACUGUCUUUCCUGCCCUCCUCAGUGCCUCCUUCACUGAUAUGAAGUUAAAACAAGGCUCUCCCUUGCCUGCCACCAUGUAAGACGUGCCUCUUCUCCUCCGACCAUAAUUGUAAGCUUCCUGAGGCUGCCUCAGCCAUGCAGAACUAACCACAGUUUCCUAUUAGACAAGAAGUGACAGGUUACCGUAAUCCAGCUGACUCUAUCCCAUCCUGGCUUUGAUGAAGUAAGCUGCUGUGAUGCAAACUGCUCUCUGGAGAGGUGACAAACCUAAGGCAGGCUUUGGACAAUACCUAGGAAGAAACUGAGACCCUCAGUCCUACAACCUGCAAAGAACCAAAUUCUGCCAACAACCAAACAACCAUAUGAGCUUGAAAGCAGAUUCUUCCUGAGCUGAGCCUUGACAGAAGAAUACAUCUCAUACCUAAGUCUUGAUUGCAGCCAGAUGAGAGACUCUGAAGCAGAGGAUUCAGCUACUCUGUGCCCAGACUCCUGACUCACAGAAACUGUGAGCUAACAAUGUAUGGUAUUUUAAGCCACCAAGUUUGCGGUAAUUUGUUAUGAGCAGUAGAUAACUAACAUGCUGCUACAAUAAUUUCGAUACUUUUCAUUAAUUUAUGUCUUUGAGAAUCAGUCUACAGACAGAAUACAAAGAAGAAUGGAUAUGAAAAUGCAACAGUAUUUUAAGUCUUUUCAAACUCAGCGUCGUGAAAGUAAGAAAUUGGGGUGUGGAGUGGAUGUGGGAAGUAGAGAAGAAAUGGUAGGUAAUAGUGCUUAUAGGUUCAUUUUAUAAUGUGAGGAGUCAGCUUUAUGUAACAAGGAAUAAAGGCGUAGAUCUAUUAUGUAAAUUUACAAAAGGAAAAAAGUGGGUGAAGUAAAAAUAUUAUGAAUAAAGAAGAUGGGAUACUUUGAGUGAACCAAAGUAGCAUUUCUCAGGGAAGGAAGUUAAUAGAAUGCUACAUGAUAAAGCAAUAUGGUAGAAACCUGUUAGUGAGAUAGCUGGAAGUAACUAGCAGUAGAAACAACGACUAGAGUUGAAAGUAGUUGCCUCUUGUCAUAAGAGAAUGAAGCAAUAGGGUGUUAAUUUUCAUUUUCCCUAUAAACUAGGUCAUUUGAAACCUUAUAUAUAUUUUACUUUAAAAAUUAUAAUGAAAAUAAAUACACAAAAUGUGAAUUAUAUUAUUUAAAUCAUAAAUUAGAAACAAAGAGUAUUUGUUAUUUAUUCCAAAAUAUCAAUUCUGGCUUUCUGGCUCACUGACAUUUUCAGGAUUCUCCCCUGCUUUCUAAAUAUUUUUUUGCCUUAUUUUUCAAUUUUGCUGAUGAUACAAAUAAUACAUGUUCACCUUAAAUAAUUUUAAAAAGUGUAAAGACAUUGUAACUAAUAUAUAAUAUCUGACAUUCUACCAUUGUGGAAUAAUUACCAUUGACAUUUUGGUGAAUAUUUUUUCUUGCUUCUAUUUCUGCACCCUUAAAACAUACUGCUAAGUCUAGUCUCGAACUCCUGGUUUUGACAUCUACCAGCCUUAUUUUUAAUCUCAUUUUCAUUAAUGGGAUUAUAUCAUAAUAUCACUUUUAAUAUUGGAUAGAAUACUCUUCCUCACUUCAUAUUUUCCAUCUCUGCUUGUAUAUUUAUUUUGCAUUUCUAAGAAAUUAUGCAUAUUAAUAGACAGUUGUGUGUUGAUUUCUCUAUUGUUUCAUGAUUGUAUAAUUGAGGUAAUGCAUGCAGAUAGUCGAUCUAAAUUUCUAUUACUGAAUAUAAAAAUUUAUUAGUGAAGCAAAUUAAAUACUAUAUUAAUAUAUAUCUACAUAUAAUUCCAUGUAAAGACAAUUUGUGGCUAAGAAGAAAUUAUUCUAUGCAUAUAUGUAAAUUAAUACACAGGUACACUCACAUACACACCAUCUCCUUGACCUGAAAGACAGCAGUCUCAACCAUCUGAAAGAUUGCAAUCAAUCAGGAGGGAGGCCAUUACGAUUAUCAUCUAUUCCAAUAAAUAUCAUAAAAUUUGUAUACUUUAUUUAGAUCCCAUUAAGUUUCAUUUUAUCUACAUUUAUUUUAGGCACAAUUCUAAUAAACUUGGUUAUAUGAUUUCAAGCAUAUUAAAAGCAAAAUCUUGAAGAUGGUUAUAAUAGAAUACUAUACCCACCAUAUACAACCUAUCAAUUAGCAUAGGAAUUUGACUCUAAUUAAUGUUAGGGCUUAUACUCCUGAAUGAUCUUUGAAAAUCUGAGAGCCCAUUAAAAAGAACUGAUGUUCAAAUGAUGAUCCCAUGUCAUCAAGGAAAGGUUACAUUAUCUUCAGCUUCUUUUGCUUAAAAAGAAAAUCAAUGAAAAGUUUAAAAUGAUUUCAGAAAAAUUUGAAUUCAAAGGACUGGCAUUUAACCAAAGUUCUUGUUGCUUUAAUUUAUAACUAUCUUGUCAUCACCAUCACCAGUAAAAGCAGCAGCCACAGCAGCAUCAUAAUUUUUAUGACCCUUUUAAAGCAUCUAUUUGCAAGGUAUGCUGGAAGCUACUUAACAUUUUAGCUGAAUUAAUCCAACAACAACCUUAGAAAGAUAUUGUUAUGCUUAUGUUCAGAUAAAAAACAGGUUAAAAAAAUGAUAAGAAAUGAUGGAGUUCACUUUGGGAUACACUGAGUUUGAGGUGCCAUAAAGAGACAUUCAGGAGAUUUCAAUAGGCAAGAAAGAAAGAAGGAAAGAAAGAAAGAGAAAGAAAGAAAGAAAGAAAGAAAGAAAGAAAAGAAAGAAAAGAGGUGACUUGCCUAAGUUCUAGGCUUCUGCAGUAAAUUUUUUUUUUAUUUUUUAAUUUCUAAUUUUUGUGGGUACAUAGUAGGUGUACAUAUUUAUGGGGUGUAUGAGAUGUUUUGAUACAGGCAUGCAAUGUAAAAUAAUAAACUUAUGGAAAAUGGAGUAACCAUCCCCUCAAGCACAUAUCCUUUGUGUAACAAACAAUCCAAUUAUACUCUGUUAUUUUAAAAUGUACAAUUACGUUUUAUUGAUUAUAGUCACCUUGUUGUGCUAUCAGACACUAGGCCUUAUUCAUUCAUUCUAACUAUUUUUUGUACCCAUUAUCCCUCCCCAACUCCCCUUCACUACCUUUCCCAGUCAUUGGUAACCAUCUUUCUACUCCCUAUCUCCAUAGGUUCAAUUGUUUUGAUUUUUAGAUCCCACAAAUAAAUGAAACCAUGUGAUGUUUGUCUUUGUGCCUGGAUUAUUUCACUUAACAUAAUAAACUCCAGUUUCAUCU